AUUGCAAACAGCUGUCUUGAGGUAAUUGCAUUGGUGGCUAAGGAACGAGGAAUGGAUGUGUGGACAGCUAAUGCAUAUGUUGUGGUGACCUGGUUGCCUCCACAUAAUCUGGACCCAUCCUUGUCAUUUCCAGAUUUCAUUGCGCUGAAAGAUUGCAUUGUCUUCCCUGCUUGGAAGCCAGGACACUGGAUGUUGUGUGUACGUCAUUUGUAAUCUGGCUAUUUAACUUCGCAGUGCUGUCUGGAAAUUGUCUGCAUUUGUCUUAUCACAAUUAAGAGAUACCAUUUCAUGAUAAAGAACUACUAACUAUAUU